rnacentral:rRNA from 1 species
AACGUAGGAGACAAACGUUAUCCGGAGUUACUGGGCGUAAAGGGCGUGUAGGUGGUUUCGUAAGUCUGGCGUGAAAUUUCUCGGCUUAACCGAGGCAGGUCGUCGGAUACUGCGGAACUUGAGGACGGUAGAGGCGUGUGGAAUUCCGGGUGUAGUGGUGAAAUGCGUAGAGAUCCGGAAGAACAUCGGUGGCGAAGGCGCUCUGCUGGACCAUAACUGACACUCAGGGACGAAAGCUAGGGGAGCGAAUGGG